CAGGCUUAACACAUGCAAGUCGAGGGGCAGCAUGGUCUUAGCUUGCUAAGGCCGAUGGCGACCGGCGCACGGGUGAGUAACACGUAUCCAACCUGCCGUCUACUCUUGGACAGCCUUCUGAAAGGAAGAUUAAUACAAGAUGGCAUCAUGAGUCCGCAUGUUCACAUGAUUAAAGGUAUUCCGGUAGACGAUGGGGAUGCGUUCCAUUAGAUAGUAGGCGGGGUAACGGCCCACCUAGUCUUCGAUGGAUAGGGGUUCUGAGAGGAAGGUCCCCCACAUUGGAACUGAGACACGGUCCAAACUCCUACGGGAGGCAGCAGUGAGGAAUAUUGGUCAAUGGGCGAGAGCCUGAACCAGCCAAGUAGCGUGAAGGAUGACUGCCCUAUGGGUUGUAAACUUCUUUUAUAAAGGAAUAAAGUCGGGUAUGGAUACCCGUUUGCAUGUACUUUAUGAAUAAGGAUCGGCUAACUCCGUGCCAGCAGCCGCGGUAAUACGGAGGAUCCGAGCGUUAUCCGGAUUUAUUGGGUUUAAAGGGAGCGUAGAGGGAGGUUAAGUCAGUUGGAAAAGUUUGGGGUUCAACCGUAAAAUUGCAGUGGAUACUGGAUAUCUUGAGUGCAGUUGAGGCAGGCGGAAUUCGUGGGGUAGCGGUGAAAUGCUUAGAUAUCACGAAGAACUCCGAUUGCGAAGGCAGCCUGCUAAGCUGCAACUGACAUUGAGGCUCGAAAGUGUGGGUAUCAAACAGGAUUAGAUACCCUGGUAGUCCACACGGUAAACGAUGAAUACUCGCUGUUUGCGAUAUACUGCAAGCGGCCAAGCGAAAGCGUUAAGUAUUCCACCUGGGGAGUACGCCGGCAACGGUGAAACUCAAAGGAAUUGACGGGGGCCCGCACAAGCGGAGGAACAUGUGGUUUAAUUCGAUGAUACGCGAGGAACCUUACCCGGGCUUAAAUUGCAGAUGAAUUACGGUGAAAGCCGUAAGCCGCAAGGCAUCUGUGAAGGUGCUGCAUGGUUGUCGUCAGCUCGUGCCGUGAGGUGUCGGCUUAAGUGCCAUAACGAGCGCAACCCUUGUUGUCAGUUACUAACAGGUUCCGCUGAGGACUCUGACAAGACUGCCAUCGUAAGAUGUGAGGAAGGUGGGGAUGACGUCAAAUCAGCACGGCCCUUACGUCCGGGGCUACACACGUGUUACAAUGGGGGGUACAGAGGGCCGCUACCACGCGAGUGGAUGCCAAUCCCCAAAACCUCUCUCAGUUCGGACUGGAGUCUGCAACCCGACUCCACGAAGCUGGAUUCGCUAGUAAUCGCGCAUCAGCCACGGCGCGGUGAAUACGUUCCCGGGCCUUGUACACACCGCCCGUCAAGCCAUGGGAGCCGGGGGUACCUGAAGUGCGUAACCGCGAGGAGCGCCCUAGGGUAAAACUGGUGACUGGG
rnacentral:rRNA from 1 species